rfam:Vittaforma corneae ATCC 50505 unplaced genomic scaffold supercont1.6, whole genome shotgun sequence.
UCCCGGUUGGUCCAGUGGUUAGGAUCCCAGAUUUUCACUCUGGGGGCCGGGGUUCGAUUCCCCGACUGGGAA